rnacentral:rRNA from 1 species
CCUACGGGAGGCAGCAGUGAGGAAUAUUGGUCAAUGGGCGUAAGCCUGAACCAGCCAAGCCGCGUGAGGGAUGAAGGUUCUAUGUAUCGUAAACCUCUUUUAUAAGGGAGAAAAGGGUGGGACGUGUCCAAUUAGGUAUGUACCUUAUGAAUAAGGAUCGGCUAACUCCGUGCCAGAAGCCGCGGUAAUACGGAGGAUGCGAGCGUUAUCCGGAUUUAUUGGGUUUAAAGGGUGCGUAGGCGGCCUUUUAAGUCAGCGGUGAAAGCCUGUGGCUCAACCAUAGAAUUGCCGUGGAAACUGGUGGGCUUGAGUGUGUUUGAGGCAGGCGGAAUGCGUGGUGUAGCGGUGAAAUGCUUAGAUAUCACGCAGAACCCCGAUUGCGAAGGCAGCUUACCAAGCCAUAACUGACGUUGAUGCACGAAAGCGUGGGGAUCAAACAGGAUUAGAUACCCUAGUAGUC